rnacentral:rRNA from 1 species
UACGUAGGGUGCGAGCGUUGUCCGGAAUUACUGGGCGUAAAGAGCUCGUAGGUGGUUUGUCGCGUUGUUCGUGAAAACUCAAGGCUUAACCUUGGGCGUGCGGGCGAUACGGGCAGACUGGAGUACUGCAGGGGAGACUGGAAUUCCUGGCGUAGCGGUGGAAUGCGCAGAUAUCAGGAGGAACACCGGUGGCGAAGGCGGGUCUCUGGGCAGUAACUGACGCUGAGGAGCGAAAGCGUGGGGAGCGAACAGG